rnacentral:tRNA from 1 species
GUUAAUGUAGCUUAACUACAAAAGCAAGGCACUGAAAAUGCCUAGAUGAGCCAUCCGGCUCCAUAAACA